rnacentral:rRNA from 1 species
GGGGGAGUAUGGUCGCAAGGCUGAAACUUAAAGGAAUUGACGGAAGGGCACCACCAGGAGUGGAGCCUGCGGCUUAAUUUGACUCAACACGAGGAAACUUACCAGGUCCAGAUAUAGUAAGGAUUGACAGACUGAGAGCGCUUUCUUGAUUCUAUGGGUGGUGGUGCAUGGUCGUUCUUAGUUGGUGGAGCGAUUUGUCUGGUUAAUUCCGUUAACGAACGAGACCUCAGCCAGCUAACUAGCUACGUGGAGGCAUCCCUUCACGGCCGGCUUCUUAGAGGAACUAUGGCCAUUUAGGCCAAAGAAAGUUUGAGGCAAUACCAGGUCUGUGAUGCCCUUAGAUGUUCUAGGUCGCACACGCGCUACACUGAUGUAUUCAACGAGUUCACACCUUGGCCGACAGGCCCGGGUAAUCUUUGAAAUUUCAUCGUGUGGGGAUAGAUCAUUGCAAUUUUUGGUCUUCAACGAGGAAUUCCUAGUAAGCGCGAGUCAUCAGCUCGCAUUGACUACAUAUCUGCCCUUUGUACACACAGCCCGUCGCUCCUACCGAUUGAAUGAUCCGGUGAAGUGUUCGGAUCGCGGCGACGUGGGCAGUUCGACGUCUGCGACAUCGCGAGAAGUCCACUAAACCUUAUUAUUUAGAGGAAGGAGAAGUCGUAACAAGAUUUCCGUAGGUGAACCUACGGAAG